GUCAGGGUGGCUCAGUGGUUAGAGCGUCGACUUGUGAACUAGGAGGUCAUGGGUUCGAAU
rnacentral:tRNA from 1 species